GAUACAUUCACUAAACUGGUGAUAAGCUUUCCUCAUACAAGUGGUAAUGUAAGCCAAGAGAGGGCUGCCAGUCGCAAGGAUUAUGAGACACAUGCUCCCGCAGGCGAUUCUUGCUUGUGCGAUUGACGAUGAAUCGAUAAUACUAUAAUGAGCAAUCACCAUGUAGUCGAUUUUACAGACGAUGGCAACAAGGUUACUGCCAUACUGGAGGAUGGGCGGAAAUUUUUAAGGUGAUCUUUUGGUUGGUGCAGAUGGCAAGGUACCAUGUGUUCCUUGAUCACAAACAAUAUUUCGUCCCCUCAGAUGUUGGUGGUGGUAAAAUGCAGUGGUACACAUCUCAAAAGGAACCAGCUGGUGGUACUGAUUCUGAAAAUGAUGAGUGCCCAGGAUGAAGAUUUCAAUCGAUUAAAUGAAAGAAGGUAUAGCUUGAAGUGAGCACAGCAGGUUGAUGAUGCA